rnacentral:rRNA from 1 species
UACGUAGGGUGCGAGCGUUAAUCGGAAUUACUGGGCGUAAAGUGUGCGCAGGCGGCUCUGCAAGUCGAGUGUGAAAUCCCCGAGCUUAACUUGGGAAUUGCGCUCGAAACUAUGGAGCUGGAGUGUGGCAGAGGAAGGUGGAAUUCCACGUGUAGCGGUGAAAUGCGUAGAUAUCUGGAGGAACACCGGUGGCGAAGGCGGCAUCCUGGACCGGUAUUGACGCUGAGGCGCGAAAGCUAGGGGAGCAAACGGG